AGCACGGCAAAGCACACCAAUGAAUACUAUGAGUAAAUAACCUGAAAGCAAAUAGGGAAGAAAACCUCAUCUGGGUAAUUGUGGCUCUUGGGACAAAAAUCAGGUUCCUGGAAAAGGAUCCCCAAAGGAGGUGUAAGGAUCCUGGACUCUAGUGUCUGCAAGAAGCUUCAGCCACCUUCACAGGUUAAAGUUCACCAUCCAUUAGGAGGUGAAGACCAGAUGGGAGCUGCUGGAUUGACCUUGAUAUACCAUGUCCUUGAGUGGAUGAAGGACCUACAUCUGAGGGAUGGCCAGCAGCAGAUGUAACACAUGUGUCCAGGAAUAGGUUAAACAA